GACGAACGCUGGCGGCGUGCUUAACACAUGCAAGUCGAACGGAAAGUGCUCUUCGGAGUGACUCGAGUGGCGAACGGGUGAGUAACACGUGGGUGAUCUGCCCUGCACUUUGGGAUAAGCCUGGGAAGCUGGGUCUAAUACCGAAUAGGACCACGCGAUUCAUGGUGUGUGGUGGAAAGCUUUUGCGGUGUGGGAUGGGCCCGCGGCCUAUCAGCUUGUUGGUGGGGUAAUGGCCUACCAAGGCGACGACGGGUAGCCGGCCUGAGAGGGUGACCGGCCACACUGGGACUGAGAUACGGCCCAGACUCCUACGGGAGGCAGCAGUGGGGAAUAUUGCACAAUGGGCGCAAGCCUGAUGCAGCGACGCCGCGUGAGGGAUGACGGCCUUCGGGUUGUAAACCUCUUUCAGUAGGGACGAAGCGCAAGUGACGGUACCUAUAGAAGAAGGACCGGCCAACUACGUGCCAGCAGCCGCAGUAA
rnacentral:rRNA from 1 species